CCUACGGGAGGCUGCAGUGAGGAAUAUUGGUCAAUGGCCGGAAGGCUGAACCAGCCAAGCCGCGUGAAGGACGAAGGUGCCAAGCAUUGUAAACUUCUUUUGUCAAGGGACAAAAUCAGGCUCGAGAGCCUGACCGAGUUUACUUUAAGAACAAGCAUCGGCUAACCCCGUGCCAGCAGCGGCGGUAAUACGGAGGAUGCGAGCGUUAUCGGGAUUUAUUGGGUUUACAGGGUGCGUAGGUGGGCUGUUAAGUCAGCGGGAAAAGCCCGGGGCUCAACCCCGGCGAGCCGUUGAAACUGGCUGUCUGGAGAUGUCGAGAGGUAUGCGGAAUGCGAAGUGUAGCAGUGAAAUGCUUAGAUAUUGCGCAGAACUCC
rnacentral:rRNA from 1 species